UGGCGACGAGCCAACUGUUGGAAGUGAAUAGUAAAGAGGACUGUCCUAUAAAGACGUAAGAUACGAGUGAUAUGACUGAAUGGUGUACCUGGACGGAAGUACGAGUACAUAGGUUUGAGGGCGAAUAAAAGAGGUAUAAUAGCACCCCAGAUCCAUGAACUUGCACAAGAUGUGAUGAUUUAGUCCAAAAUUUGCAAAAUGUCACUGAGGGCUCCCAGAACUUGACACCCUAUGUGAUGAUUUGGUCCAGAGCGAAUCACAGCGCGACAAGUGGCAGUCCAGAGCUGGGACCGGUUAGCACUGGCAUUUUUGCAAUAAACCCCUUGCCAUUCCGUCGAUUUAACCCGCACUGGUUAGUGCUCAUCUUCUCCGCCGCAGGUGCCCCGCCCCCGGCCGCCGCCGCUCGUCCACACAAUACAGUACUACAGUCUCUGUCGAGUUCUUGCGGUGUUGGUGCUUUUACGGUGCAGAUUUGCUCGUCGGGGUGUUCAUCGAUGCCAUUCUCGAGCUGCGGGGGGUCCCGGCGAGGACGCGGAUCUGGUGCGUGGUGGCCUGGCUGUUCAACCCCUUCACCUUCACCAUCGGCACCAGAGGGAACUGCGAGCCCAUCAUCUGCGCCGCCAUGCUCUGGAUCCUCAUCUGUUUGAUGAAGGGUGUAGAGUACUGCAAGCAGCAUUCUGGUAUGGGCUGAUUGUGCACGUCAGAAUAAUCGUUUGAGAUAGCAGUCACUUGAGUGUGUAAACUCAAGCUCCUUUUAGCUGCUGGCUAGAGUAGUUACUCCUAUCCUGGAGUUGAGCAAUACUUGAGCACUCAGAUGCGAUGAAAAAUUAGAUAUGCGAAAUGGGCAGUAAAUAACUCUUUACUGUAAUUUGUUUUCUUCCAAAUAAUUCCAGCACCAAGCUUUGCAUCGGUGCAAAUGACACCGAAGUAAGUUAGCUCGGUAUACUAUCUCAAA